rnacentral:rRNA from 1 species
GUCGAACGAGAGAAUUGCUAGCUUGCUAAUAAUUCUCUAGUGGCGCACGGGUGAGUAACACGUGAGUAACCUGCCCCCGAGAGCGGGAUAGCCCUGGGAAACUGGGAUUAAUACCGCAUAGUAUCGAAAGAUUAAAGCAGCAAUGCGCUUGGGGAUGGGCUCGCGGCCUAUUAGUUAGUUGGUGAGGUAACGGCUCACCAAGGCGAUGACGGGUAGCCGGUCUGAGAGGAUGUCCGGCCACACUGGAACUGAGACACGGUCCAGACACCUACGGGUGGCAGCAGUCGAGAAUCAUUCACAAUGGGGGAAACCCUGAUGGUGCGACGCCGCGUGGGGGAAUGAAGGUCUUCGGAUUGUAAACCCCUGUCAUGUGGGAGCAAAUUAAAAAGAUAGUACCACAAGAGGAAGAGACGGCUAACUCUGUGCCAGCAGCCGCGGUAAUACAGAGGUCUCAAGCGUUGUUCGGAAUCACUGGGCGUAAAGCGUGCGUAGGCUGUUUCGUAAGUCGUGUGUGAAAGGCGCGGGCUCAACCCGCGGACGGCACAUGAUACUGCGAGACUAGAGUAAUGGAGGGGGAACCGGAAUUCUCGGUGUAGCAGUGAAAUGCGUAGAUAUCGAGAGGAACACUCGUGGCGAAGGCGGGUUCCUGGACAUUAACUGACGCUGAGGCACGAAGGCCAGGGGAGCGAAAGGGAUUAGAUACCCCUGUAGUCCUGGCAGUAAACGGUGCACGCUUGGUGUGCGGGGAAUCGACCCCCUGCGUGCCGGAGCUAACGCGUUAAGCGUGCCGCCUGGGGAGUACGGUCGCAAGAUUAAAACUCAAAGAAAUUGACGGGGACCCGCACAAGCGGUGGAGUAUGUGGCUUAAUUCGAUGCAACGCGAAGAACCUUACCUGGGCUUGACAUGUAAUGAACAACAUGUGAAAGCAUGCGACUCUUCGGAGGCGUUACACAGGUGCUGCAUGGCCGUCGUCAGCUCGUGUCGUGAGAUGUUUGGUUAAGUCCAGCAACGAGCGCAACCCCUGUUGCCAGUUACCAGCACGUGAAGGUGGGGACUCUGGCGAGACUGCCCAGAUCAACUGGGAGGAAGGUGGGGACGACGUCAGGUCAGUAUGGCCCUUAUGCCCAGGGCUGCACACGUACUACAAUGCCCAGUACAGAGGGGGCCGAAGCCGCGAGGCGGAGGAAAUCCUAAAAACUGGGCCCAGUUCGGACUGUAGGCUGCAACCCGCCUACACGAAGCCGGAAUCGCUAGUAAUGGCGCAUCAGCUACGGCGCCGUGAAUACGUUCCCGGGUCUUGUACACACCGCCCGUCACAUCAUGGAAGCCGGUCGCACCCGAAGUAUCUGAAGCCAACCGCAAGGAGGCAGG